AACAGCCGUUUUUUCGCGGGUUUACCGGAUAGAGCUACAUGGCUGGAUGGCGAUGGCUGAUAUCAUAGGAGAAUGCUGUAAGAGCAUAUGGCCGGUACGGGGCCUAAUGCUGGCAGAGAACUGUCUAGAAACUAUUUCAUGCCUCUCUCUCUGAGUUUCCCGCCUCUAUCUGAUUUAGUACUUGUGGAUAUCGGUUCCUGUGCAAACUCCUCAUUUCGCCUUUCUUAUUUGCGCACUGACUGAGAUCUUCAAACAAUGGUAUUUCAACCGGACUGGAGCGUGCCAGUCAACCCGUUCAACCCGAACGUGAUCCAAUUUCCAGCACCGAUGAAACUAGUUCAUGGUGAUUAUCCUCAAUCACCAUGUUCUCGAAGCUUAUCGAGGGCUGUCACAAUCCCGUCAUUGAACUGCUCCUCGUGUUGACCUGACGGGCGAGCGUUUGAUUCUGGCCAAUCAUCUUUCGAGGAAUCAUUUUCACGUUCCAUAUCAUCUUGACUGUUGAGUUUAUUUUUGGGUAUCCGGUGGCUGGGGGUCUCUGAUGAUUGGCUUGGCUUAUCGUGACUGAAUUUUUCGCUAUGAGCAGCAAGGAAUGCGUUUUCUUCCUCAGUAAAAGUAAAAUUCUCUUGCUGCAUCACAGCUGCUUUGGCGUUAUCGGUGGAUGGUUUUGCACUUCGUUUCGCAGUCCUUUGUAUCUGAAAAUCAUCUCUUACAGCAUCGUGCCAUUGUUGGACCUUCUUCUCCCCCCAUCCUGGAACCGUACUGAUUUGCUCUGCUUGAGCGUUGACGGCAGCUUGUAAGCUACCAAAUGUUGAUAUCAAACUUGCUGCGUCUGAUUUGUUGAUGCUUCUUGGAGUCGUAAUAAACUCCACUAGACUCUCAUUAUAUGACUGCGAUUGCUGCGUGCGUAUGGCCGUCGGCUGUGCGUGUUCACAAGAUUUAAAAAGUUCCAGGUAGUGCCCUGCUUCGGCGGCGGACCAGCACAAAAUCAACGUCAGAUUAUUAACAAGUGACGUCUUUGACAACUCCCUGAGACUGUCUUCGUGAUUUGGAAUAUCGAUCAGUGUGAGAAGAAUGCGUAAAUUAUACUUUCCCGCUAGGCCCUUGAUUCGAGAGUAAAUGUAUUCCGGGUGCAAACGGUAGUAUUUCAACGAGAGAAAGAGGACACAGGUUGUGCUCCCCACGAUGUAGUCUGCCGGGAUGUCUGCAAAUUCCCAAGGUACGUGACGCACAUGGUUGAGGAUUGGAUUUCCUCUUUGCCUUGCUGAUACCAGAAUAGAGGAGGGACUAGAUCGGCUUGGGAGUGCUUGGGGUUUGGGUUGCUGGACUUUGCGUGUUUGAUCUAAUUUUUCUGGUGCAGAAGUGUGCGGAAGGCUCUUGUCAGAUUUACUAGGUCCAAGUAGCACGUCGAAGUCUGGGACAUCACCGAAGUCGUCAUCCAUUUUG
rnacentral:sRNA from 1 species